UCGCUGGGCACCCAGGGACCCACGGGGACGUGGCACAUGCUGUCUACAGUCAUUGCAGGCUCUCACAGCCACGGCGCUCGGCUUGGUACCCGGCGUUUAAGCAAAGCUCCUCAGAAUGUUUAGGGAUGAAGGACACCCUGCCGGCCAGCCGCGAUCUGGUGAACAACCUGAGAUGCUAGCAGUUGGGGAGUCUGGUGAGAGACAGCCACUCUGGGUCACUGGCAGCAGAAGUCAACCACGUUAGUCUGGUGACUCACAGCCCAGGAAUUGCCAGCGGGAGGCCACGGGGCGCGUGGAGGAGAGCAUUACUGUAAUUCUCGUAAUCGCCAUCGGCAAAGCAGACACAAAAACCCCAAGCUCCACGUUUACCUUGUUCCCCCCGGUUAGCGAGUUGGGGCCCAGAGCCAACGGCCACCUGUGUGCUGAGGGGACCACUCUCCAGUCAGCUGGGGACACGUCCAAAGGCAUGGGUGCCCUCAGGUCAUUGGAUCUGGGGGUGACAGGGCUCCUUGGCCCCGGGAACGGAGUCCUGGAGCUCCCUCAUCCGCGUGGGCAUGGACCGGAGUUUCCCCAGUAACCAUGCCCCUGGCGCCCUCCAUGGCCAUUAGAUGUCAGUGGAACCAUUAGAGCUCGUCCCUGGAUCGCCAGCAGAAAAGACGCCAUGACACAGCCAAGGGGAGCAGGUUGCACGGCGCUUGGCUGCCUUCCUAGCAUCUGUUUUCUUUUUGCCCUACAGGUGCAAGGAGCAGACCCAGCUGGGGCCCUGCAGCCAGCAGAGGGGAUGGCACCUGACUGCACCUCUCUCGGAAGUUCCGGGAGCCCAGGUCCCGUGGCAGCGAGAGUCCACUUGCCGCCUCCCCUCCCAACACCCACUAAGGUCUGCGGGUCCUUUUCGUAUCCCUGUCUCGAAGUCAGGAAGAUGAGCUCUUCAGAUCUGGUGCGGUGUUGGCGGGUCACAUGCCCCCAAGCCACAGAGCCCAAACCCAACCCAGGACCCAGAACUGAUCAGGACCUGCAAGGCCAGCACCUUGCAGCAGGAGGUGCUGGAGUCCCCUGGAGUCAAUGGAAGUCUGGCCAGGGGCCCAGGGUUCCUGAGACAGGCACAAAACCCCUGUGGAAGGGGACUCAUGCCACCUGAGGGCAGUCACUGGGCUGCUGAGACGGGCGCUUCCCAUCAGCUCAUGACCAGAGUGACACUGGCACCUCUGUGCUCAGCUGGGUCUCGGAAUUACAGAGCAGGCCGGAGCCAGACAGGCGGGGUGAAUCUCGCUCGGCUGGGCCCGAGGUCCCCCGUGGGUCCUGUUCUGCGGGAUUCAGUACUAGGUUCACUGGCUCUGGACCUGGGGGUGGCAGGAACACCAGCCUGGCCACUUUUCCCUGUGUAGUGCCAGGUUCUACUUGGCAGAAGGAAGAAUGUGCCCAGGAUCUGGGGACAGAUGUGGAACAGCCACCAUCGCCCCUGGAGGUCCUCAAGGGUCCUAGUUCGAGGUGGGCAGGGGACCGACAACUUGGCUGUGCCCCUGCCCGCCAGCCUCUCUGACCGCCAGUGGCCCCAGACCAUCCGCUGUGGAAGCAGCUGUCCCCCAGACCUGACACAGCCACCGCCUGCCCCCCAGGUGCCAGCCCCUGCCCUACCCUCUGGUCACCACCUGAGGGCAUGGCCCGAGGUCUCAUCCCUGCAGAUACUGCCAUCCCAUGCUGCCUGGCCAGCUGCCCAGCUAACAUUACCUGGCGGGGGCGGGAGUGGAAGGGCCGGGCUCUGGGGCUCCAGGGCUGAUUGUCACCGAAGUCCACUGCUCUGCCUCUGGGCUGCCGCGCCUCUGUGGUUUUGCUGUAUGUCAGCGUGCGGUUUUCCCAGGGUGCUUUGUGUCUUGCUAUGGAGGUCAUUUACGGGCACAGGCGCUAACCCGCGUCCCCAGAGCAGAUGCAGAAGCCACAGAAAAGGGCUUUGCUGGGCGGAUGUGGUGGGCCUGCUGGGCCCCUGGAUUUGGGGGAGCCAGGAGCGGGGUGGGCACCCCAUCCCCAUGUGACCUGCCAGCCCAGGGGGGGCUCAACAUAGUGUCCCCUUGUAGAUGAAGGCACAUGCAUCCGGGGCCAGCUCCGGGGAGCCGGGGGAGGUGGGCGGCAGCAUAGGACAGCAGAGCGCCCCACCCCGUACGGUUUAAUAGGCCCUUAUCUCAGGGACAUUGCCCAGAGCCGGGCGGGCCUCGUAAACCAAGGGCCUGUUUUAUGUGCUUUCCCACCAGAUGCUGGGGGACCCUGAGAAAGACUCUCUAAGGAGAUUAGAUGGGCUGGGAAGAGGGCUCAGCCUGGGCUUCUCCCUGGGGGCUCAGCCUGGGCUCCCACCCCAUUUCCUCCCUGGCCUCAGCACCCCACUCCUGUUGGGGAGCUCGCCGUGGGGCUGCACGCUGCUCUCUGGUGAGGCCACUGCAGCAGGCCAGAACACUGUGCAGGAAGAGAUGCCAAAUAAUGU
rnacentral:lncRNA from 1 species